GGCCCGUAGCCUAGCCAGGAUAGGGCGCCGGCCUCCGGAGCCGGUGAUCCGGGGUUCAAAUCCCCGCGGGCCCGU
rnacentral:tRNA from 1 species